AAGUUUGAUCCUGGCUCAGGAUGAACGCUAGCGGCAGGCCUAAUACAUGCAAGACGAACGGUAAGAGGUGUAGCAAUACACUUCCUAGAGUGUCGUAAGGGUGCGUAACAAGUAUGCAAUCUGCCCUCAACUGGAGCAUAGCUCCCCGAAAGGGGAAUUAACACUCCAUAAUAUGUAUGAGUCGGCAUCGACUAAGCAUUAAAACUCCGGUGGUUGAGGAUGAGCAUGCUUCUGAUUAGUUAGUUGGUGGUGUAACGGACCACCAAGACGAUGAUCAGUAGGGGAACUGAGAGGUUGGAUCCCCACCACUGGCACUGAGAUACGGGCCAGACUCCUACGGGAGGGCAGCAGUAGGGAGUAUUGGUCAAUGGAUGCAAGUCUGAACCAGCCAUGCCGCGUGCAGGAAGAAGGCCUUCUGGGUUGUAACUGCUUUUGUCCGGGGGAGUAAAGAAGGCCAUGCGUGGUUAAUUGAAGGUACCCGGCGAA
rnacentral:rRNA from 1 species